rnacentral:rRNA from 1 species
UACGGGGGGAGCAAGCGUUGUUCGGAUUUACUGGGCGUAAAGGGCGCGUAGGCGGUCAGCACAAGUCAGUUGUGAAAUCUCCGGGCUUAACUCGGAAAGGUCAACUGAUACUGUGCGACUAGAGUGCAGAAGGGGCAACUGGAAUUCUCGGUGUAGCGGUGAAAUGCGUAGAUAUCGAGAGGAACACCUGCGGCGAAGGUGGGUUGCUGGGCUGACACUGACGCUGAUGCGCGAAAGCCAGGGGAGCGAACGGG